rnacentral:sRNA from 1 species
CAUAAUGGUUUUGUUGUUUUGCUCAGGUUGUUCUGUGGACUAGAUGGGAUCUACUGUAUGUUUCUAGGGAGAUUGAAUAAUCUCUGUACAUUGAAUCGACAAUACGGUUUAUCUGGGAAGAACUCAAACGAGGCAAUGUUUGUGAUCGAAGCUUAUCGAACACUUCGUGAUCGUGGUCCUUACCCAGCAGAUCAAGUUCUUAGAGGUCUUGAGGGAAGCUUCGCUUUCGUUGUCUACGAUACUCAAACUUCCUCUGUUUUCUCAGCUCUGAGUUCUGAUGGAGGAGAGAGUCUUUACUGGGGAAUUUCUGGAGACGGAUCUGUUGUAAUGUCUGAUGAUAUUCAGAUCAUAAAGCAAGGCUGUGCUAAAUCGUUUGCUCCUUUCCCUAAUGGUAAACCAAAACUUAAGUUUUUCAUUAGCCCUAUAAAGA